CCCGGAGGGGGCAAGUGUUAUUCAACAUGACUGGGCGUCCAGGACACGUAGGCUGUUUUUUAAAACUAAGUGAAAAUGAUAAGGUUACUGCUUGUCCUGCUUUUUUUUUAUUUAACUUGGGUGCUAAGAACAGGUUUGUCGAACUCCUUUGGUAAAGAUAAAAUUUUUAGAUCUUAGGAAGACGGCCAAAAGUGAAGGCAACAAACCAGCUAAGCACUGACGCUGAGGUGUGAAAGCGUGGGGAUCAAACGGG
rnacentral:rRNA from 1 species